AAGUCCUGCAUGUAAUAGUAAUAUUUAUAUAACAAUUCAGGUCUUCAAAGAAGUGUACAGAAGCUGUGAACUGAUCUGCGCAGCUCUUCAGUGGAGUUUAUUAUAUUUGAACUGUUUUAUCUCUGGUAAGCAUGCAGGGAGAUUAAACAACUACUCUGGAGCCACCAGAUGCAUCUGAAGCAGGGCCAAGAUUAGAAUAUUGAUUUCUGGCCUCCGCAGUCCCAGGCUCAGUUCACUACAUUAUGUUGUCUUUGCAGAUAACGUUUAGACAAAUAGAUCUUGACAUAUGAAAAGCUCAGUAGCCUGCCAGUAAAUUGAGCAGAGCUUUAGCUGUUCAAUUCCUAUGAUUUGUGCAUGCCUCACACUUGGUCCCAGUAAUGUCAGUAGCUAUUGUAUAUUUACAGAGAAGCCCACUUGUAUCCUGAAGCAUACUAGACUUUUUUUUUUUGAUCUCUGAGUAGAAAUAAGCCUAAUUAUGAUACAUUUUGCUCUUGUCAGAUUGAGAUUUGCACAUAUGUUACCUCAAAGAAAUUUUGCUUCAGUCCUCUUUAAAAUAUCCCCACAUUGGUAGAGAUUCUCAGUCCUGACCAACGGUAGCUUGUCAAUCCUUCUAAUUUCUUGAGUAAGAAGUCAGAAAAAUGGGAAAAGUCCUGCAGGCCCAAAAUUCAAAUCCAAGUACUUUUAAUGAAAUCACCACAUACCAAGCAUACUCAGUUUCUGAUAUCCAAAUGCCAAAGAAAAGGCAAGUGUGUACUUGAAAGCUGAAAUAAAUUCUGCACAGAGAAUAACUCAGGUAUAUUUGUAUCAGAAAACUUGCCUCCCAGUAUCCACAGAGGUGUAAGAAUAUUGUCAUUGCUACAACCCAGGAAACCUCCAGGCUACCUGAGCUUGCUGAUGUGUAGCCCAGAACCUUUUUUCCACAUUUUUAAACUCCAGGUAUCCCAUCUGCAGCUAACAAAGGACCCUGCUUACUCUCACAGAGCCCACUUGAAGUUUGACAGUCCUACAAAAGCUGUACUAGCGUUUCAAACACUUCAAGUUGUCUAACAGCCUUCUCCACCCUUCUUUGUUACUCGAUGCAGUAGCACGAUGUCAUUUGUCAGAGUGCCAAUACUGGAGACAUGCUGAAUAUGUGAAUAGCGAGGAAGUGGUUUCCUUAGCAAUAACAGGCAUGUGAAAGUCAAAACUUCCUUUCCUCCUCAUGUGACCUUUUUCAAAGCAAUUCAGCCUGGGGACAAUAGGACUGAAUUCCAAGCACCCUAGUGUUCCUGCACUGCUCGGCAAGGAUCUGCCAAACGGCCAAUGUAUCGUACCUAUUUAUUAAGGCAGUGUUUGGGAAGAGCACCUGCCUCUCCAGUACUCUUUUGCAUCAGCAGAUCUCCAAGAACUUUACAAAAUGAAAAUAAAUGGAAGGAAUGAGGCAGAUUUUGGGCAGUUGGCAGGAGCGAGUGAGUAGGGAAGCACUGUUGAUCAGUGGAUCAUCCUCAGAAGAGGCAAGCAGGUGGAAGAGCUGUCAUGUGAAAACAUAGUGUAGCAGGUCCUGGAGUGAUAUCCAAGCUCCCUGAAUCCUCUGUGGCUGCUGCUACUGCUGAAACACACCGAGCAGACAUGUUCUUGUGCUGGUCUACCUACAGAGAAUAAGCUACCACUACAAGAAAGCACAUGCUGCUUUCAGCAGCUGUGGUUUCCACAGGAAACCUAAACAUUUCAGCCCCUAUGUGCCAUACAGGUAUGACUAUGGUGCUUUGGGGGUUCCCUCCUCCAAUUUUUAAAGAAAAUCACUUGUAAAAGCUACAUUAAAAGAAAGCCAUGAAAUCAAGCGCUCACGUAUUAUGAAAUGUAAGAAUUACAGUUACGCUCUUUAAUUAUUUGUCCCUGCAUGAUACAAACUUUAACUACAGUCCACCUGCUACACUUCAAAGAAAACUGUUACUGCUUUCCUUUACUGGUAAUUUACUAAAGAAAAUAAUACACUAAACAUGAAUGACAUGUUCAGUGAUUUAAUAUUACCAAAGUAACAAUGUGAUAAAAUACUGUGGCAUUACUUGUUUGCUCCUUAUACUGUAGUUACUGUACUGUACUGUACUGCUUUACUGAACAGCACAGAAAGCCUGAAGCUUGAAAGUAUCUUUUGA